rnacentral:rRNA from 1 species
GAAACCGUGUACGUACAAGCAGUGGGAGCACCCUUUUGGGUGUGACUGCGUACCUUUUGUAUAAUGGGUCAGCGACUUAUAUUCUGUAGCAAGGUUAACCGCAUAGGGGAGCCGGAGGGAAACCGAGUCUUAACCGGGCGUUAAGUUGCAGGGUAUAGACCCGAAACCCGGUGAUCUAGCCAUGGGCAGGUUGAAGGUUGGGUAACACUAACUGGAGGACCGAACCGACUAAUGUUGAAAAAUUAGCGGAUGACCUGUGGCUGGGGGUGAAAGGCCAAUCAAACCGGGAGAUAGCUGGUUCUCCCCGAAAGCUAUUUAGGUAGCGCCUCGUGAAUUCAUCUCCGGGGGUAGAGCACUGUUUCGGCUAGGGGGCCAUCCCGGCUUACCAACCCGAUGCAAACUGCGAAUACCGGAGAAUGUUAUCACGGGAGACACACGGCGGGUGCUAACGUCCGUCGUGAAGAGGGAAACAACCCAGACCGCCAGCUAAGGUCCCAAAGUCAUGGUUAAGUGGGAAACGAUGUGGGAAGGCCCAGACAGCCAGGAUGUUGGCUUAGAAGCAGCCAUCAUUUAAAGAAAGCGUAAUAGCUCACUGGUCGAGUCGGCCUGCGCGGAAGAUGUAACGGGGCUAAACCAU